rnacentral:lncRNA from 1 species
GGGGCAUAAACCAAGGGAACAAAUGUUGUCAAGUUGCUAUUUUACGUUCUACACCAAAAAAUGAUAUGUAAAUGUUUAAAAUGUAAAUAAAGAUUGAACUCAUAUAGAAUAUAUAUAACUUGAACCAAUCAAUGCACCACAAUUUUGCCUUCUCAAAAUAUCCAAUUACUGUCCUUUGAUGAAGUAAAUAAGUGUUUAAAUUGACUUUUGAAAAG